rnacentral:misc_RNA from 1 species
AAGCAAAUUUGACACUUUAGCAAACCUAACACCAUAUACAUCAAGGGUAAAUUUCAGUAAUCAUCACUGAACUUGUUGCUAAAUCUCAUUAAAGUCACUUAAUUUCAAUUUGUUAUUUAAAAAUCACUGAACUUUAAUUUUCGUAAUCAACAUCUGAUCAAAUUCAAGCAGGCAAUAUGACAUGACAAUCAUAUUAAACUUCUAAAUGUAUUUUUAUUUUUAGUGAACCAUCCAAGACAUUUUUCUCUCUCCUCUGUCCUCCCACUCUCUCUUUCUCACUCCUUUUCUGUGCAUUAAAG